rnacentral:lncRNA from 1 species
AUUAGAAUGUCUUUAUUUGAGUGCAAAUUGUCACUUUCAUUGCCUUAUAUAGCACCAGAAAAUAAAGUCUAAUAGCCACACUCAACUUACAGAAGCUUCAUUUUCAGAUGAUAUAUUAUGAAGGAUAUAUUGACAGUAUGUAUAUAAACAUGGAUCUGGGGCAGUGCUCUAACUCUGAAUGUCUCAUGAUAUUAUCAUGCACACUGCCAUAUUAUGGGACCUGCUGUAUAUAAGUCUGAAGACACAUUCCAGACCACAUGUCAUUGAGUAUAAUGGGGAUGCUGAUAACAAGCCAUGCUUUUAAACAUCCUUGUAUAUGAUCAGUGGAGGAAAUAGCACGGUUGCAGAGGUCGCAGCUGCAACCGGGCCCGUCACUCCAGGCCAUGCUCUUUGGGCCACUCGAUGGAAAUGGGCGCGACCGGGCCCCAUUGAUGAUGUCAGAGCGUCCACUGGGAGGAAGCCGUCACUUCUUCCCAGCAUACACAGAGCCGUGCGGGAGAAGAACACAGAGAAAGGAGAGGAAAUAGUCAGAGUGGGAGCGCUGACUCCCAUCAGCAUUAGGCAGCUACUGGACCCCAGGGAAGUCACCCUACUGCCCCUAAAGGUAGAAAACAGUAGGGUGACUAAAGUUUUUAACAGUUUGUGUGUGCGUGAAUGUCUGUAUCUCUGUGUCUGCAUGUGCGUGUGUGUUUGUGAAUGUAUGUAUCUGUAUAUCUGUGUGUCUGCAUGUUUGUGUGUGUGUGUCUGUAUGUAUGUGUGUGUCUAUAUGUGUAUCUGCAUAUGUGUCUGUAUGUGUAUCUGAUGUGUAUCUGUUUUUCUGCAAGUGUGUCUGUAUGUGUAUCUGUCUGCAUGUGUGUCAGUGCGUGUUCCUAUGUAUCUGUAUGUGUGUCAUUCUGUGUAUGUGUAUCUGCAUUUGUCUAUAUGUGUAUCUCUCUGUAUGUGUGUCUGUGUAUCCGCAUGUGUGUCAGUGUGUGUCUGUGUAUCUGUAUGUGUGUCAGUGUUUGUAUCUGUAGAAGUGUCAUUCUGUGUAUCUUAAUGUGUCAUUCUGUGUGUCUGUGUAUUAGCAUGUGUGUACAUGUAUGUAUCUAUAUGUGUUUUAUUUUACAAAUGGAGGGGUGGAGGGAGGGAAUAUGUAUUUUUAUUCGCACUGGAACCUUGUGGUUUCUAGUUAUGCCUCUGUAUAUGAGAGUGCACCAGUGUUAAUGGUUAUUGGUUAUUGAAUAUCCUGAGCUGAGUACGCAUAGAUAGUUCACAUUCACUGAUCCCUCUAGCUCAUGUCCUACUAUCUGUCCUACUAAACCCAAGGCACAAUAAAGGUUCUGUAUCACAUUUGGUGCUACCCUUCUCAUAUUACCCAAAGUCUCAUCAAUCUAACUUUCUUUAUCCCUGGGAAGAUAUCCAACAAAUAUGCUAUCAACAGGCUGGUAGAACACACAAAGAAGGUUUGCAAGUAUACAUUGACACAUGUUUUAUGGGAAGUUUACAUUCUAAAACUGAUAGUGUGGGUUUACACUGAGGGCCUGGUAGGUACUUGGUUCACCAUCUUGAUACAUAGAGUGAAAGGGAAGAGCAAACUGGUAACCUGCCCAGUGCCCUGUGGUAUAUUAAUUCCUCUGUGUGUGAAGACUCCUUCUUGGCAUUCACACAUAAACCCAUUGUACAUAUGCAACACUGACCAUAAAUACGUUUUUAAAG